AGCGAACGUUUGCGGCGGGCUUAACACAUGCAAGUCGAACGAGAAUCCCUUCGGGGAGGAAAGUGGCGCACGGGUGCGUAACACGUGGAUAACCAACCCAUUGGUUUGGGACAACACCGGGAAACUGGUGCUAAUACCAGAUGUGUCGCAGCUGUCUUCAGGCGGUUGCGAGAAAGGCCCGCAAGGGUCGCCAACGGACGGGUCCGCGUCCCAUCAGCUAGUUGGUGAGGUAAUGGCUCACCAAGGCAAAGACGGGUAGCUGGUCUGAGAGGAUGAUCAGCCACACUGGAACUGAGACACGGUCCAGACUCCUACGGGAGGCAGCAGUGGGGAAUAUUGCGCAAUGGGCGAAAGCCUGACGCAGCCACGCCGCGUGAGCGAUGAAGGUCUUCGGAUCGUAAAGCUCUGUGGGGGGAGAAGAAGAAAGCCGGUGAAGAGCCGGCUCUGACGGUAUCCCCUUAGCAAGCACCGGCUAACUCCGUGCCAGCAGCCGCGGUAAAG
rnacentral:rRNA from 1 species